UUGAUCCUGGGCUCAGGAUGAACGCUGGCGGCGUGCCUUAUACCUUCAAGUCGAGCGGUCGAGACGAGUGCUCUUGCUCUCUCUGACGUAAGCGGCGGACAGGGUUAGUAACACGUGGAUAACCUACCUAUAAGGGGGGAUAAGUUGGGGAAUCCGGAGCUAAUGGGAUAUAAUAAAUAGAUCGGCAUAGUUCAAUAAUGAAACCGGAAUUGCUGUCACUUAUAUUUGGAGCCGCGCCGCUUUAGCUAGUUGGUAAGGUAACGGCUUUCAAGGCAGGUAAGGGUUCCCCCCCUCAAGGGGUCGCGCCCACCCGGGAAGUGAGCCGGGCCCCACACUCCUGCGGGAGGCCCCAGUCCGGAAUCUUCGGCAAUGCAGCGAAGCCUUACGCAGCACCACCGACCCAGUCAUGAAGGACCCGGGAUGGUAAA
rnacentral:rRNA from 1 species